CCUACGGGAGGCAGCAGUGGGGAAUAUUGCACAAUGGGGGAAACCCUGAUGCAGCGACGCCGCGUGAGUGAAGAAGUAAUUCGUUAUGUAAAGCUCUAUCAGCAGGGAAGAAAAUGACGGUACCUGAGUAAGAAGCCCCGGCUAACUACGUGCCAGCAGCCGCGGUCAUACGUAGGGGGCAAGCGUUAUCCGGAUUGACUGGGUGUAAAGGGAGCGUAGACGGCAGUGCACGUCUGGAGUGAAAGGCGGGGGCUCAACCCCCGGACUGCUCUGGAAACUGUACGGCUGGAGUGCAGGAGAGGUAAGUGGAAUUCCUAGUGUAGCGGUGAAAUGCGUAGAUAUUAGGAGGAAAACCAGUGGCGAAGGCGGCUUACUGGACUGUAACUGACGUUGAGGCUCGAAAGCGUGGGGAGCAAACAGGAUUAGAUACCCUGGUAGUC
rnacentral:rRNA from 1 species